UUCGUCGUCAGCGCGUUUAUUCAUUACUAUAUCUAUCAAUAACUUGGAUUAGUUUUAUGUCAUUGCAGUUGCCCUCCUCUUCCAAAGAAUAACACAAUAGACACGAGUUCGAUGACAAAAGUCGGAUAAUCCGUAAAAGUAUGCGAACACUUCAUUUUUCUUUCAUCGGACUCUUUCCUUUUUCAAUUGUCUUUGAGUAACUUUUAGGUGAAUUUGAUCGUAACGCUUAUUGGGAUAAUAAUGAAAUAAAAACGUAUAGAAAAUGACAAAAAAUGACGUUGAAAUGUCAAAGAUAAAAUCGAUAAUAAAGUCAAGAUAAAAAAGAUCGAUAAACAUCUCGAUCACUUCCUCCAGGCAUUUGCGAGUUUCUCGUAUAAUCGAGGCCUUCUGCUACAUUCUCAAGACACGACGAUGAUAACUAAUCGAAAGACGAGCAGGUAAGUACGUGCGACAGGUAAACAAACCUUCAUCAUAUAAGAUUGUGCGAGCGUAUUUUAAACACGUACGCUCCGAUAAGGGUUGAAUUUAAAGAAAAAGGAGCGCUGGACAAACGGUCAAGUCGUAGAAGUAACAUCGUUCUUUAACAAACGCAAAAAAAAUGAGGACGAAAGGGAAGAUUGUAAAGAUCGGCUGAUGGACGUCUUCACGAAGGUCUGUGGCAACGAUCGCCUCAAAAGAGGCAUCGAAAAAUUUGAUUCAGAAAAAAUGGGCUAUAAAAAAUUCCAGCUGGCCAAAUCUAUCGAUUUUUCCCUAGAAAGGGAGAAGAAAUCUAUAUCCUUCAAUAAGCACAAAAAAAGAGAUAUCUCGGCGAAAAUAGCGAAUCCAGAGGGAGAACAUGUCGCGGAUGUUAUUUCUGGUUCUAACCGAGAAGAUUUUUAUAACCAACAACGGUAUUAUCGACAGAAAUCUCUUCCGCCUUCUUCCGUACGGUUUCAGAAUGUUGCGAUUACAAGGUCAUCAUGAAUGAAUACGGCGACUAAACUCUUCCAUCGCAUUGCACGUUAUCGCUUGCUCACGUCCUUCGGAUAACGCUUUAUCCGGACAAUCCUUCAUCAAAGACGUAUACAACUUCCUGAAGAAAGCCAUCCUGUCAGAACUUCGAUGCUCACUCGUCGAAAUACAAAACAAGACUGAUCCAGUAACACUCAAAGUCAAAGGUUUGAAUUUGUUGACGUCACACGUAACCAAGGACCGCCUUUGUAUUCAACAUUUAAAUGUAAAAUAGAAUAAAUUGUAUAUAGUAUCAAAGAAAUGUAUUAUAUUGGAAUAUAUUUGUUUCAACUCUUCGUUAUUAUUAAUAUUAUAUUGUAGGAUCAUUAAUAUAAUUGCAGGAAAUACGUCUUCGAUAUUCACUCGUCGAAAUACAAAAGAAAACUAACUCGGUAAUUGUCAAAAUUAAUCCUAAGCGCGAAUAUGUUUAUAUUACGUCAUAUCAUACUUUGUUUAUAUUAUAUGUUUAUCUAUAUAAUAAUUCCGAGAUGAAAAUUAUUAUUUUAAGUUUCUCGCACGUUAACAUCUUUGUAAUGUUUAAGCGAAUGUACUAUUAUUUAAAUAAUUGAA